rnacentral:rRNA from 1 species
UACGGAGGGUGCGAGCGUUGUCCGGAUUCAUUGGGCGUAAAGGGUGCGUAGGCGGCGCGGUAAGUCGGGUGUGAAAUCUCGGAGCUUAACUCCGAAACUGCAUUCGAUACUGCCGUGCUUGAGGACUGGAGAGGAGACUGGAAUUUACGGUGUAGCGGUGAAAUGCGUAGAUAUCGUAAGGAAGACCAGUGGCGAAGGCGGGUCUCUGGACAGUUCCUGACGCUGAGGCACGAAGGUCAGGGGAGCAAACGGG